GCUGUCCUUAGUACGAGAGGACCGGGAUGGACGCACCGCUGGUGUAACCAGUUGUUCCGCCAGGAGCAUAGCUGGGUAGCUAUGUGCGGAAGGGAUAAGCGCUGAAAGCAUCUAAGCGUGAAGCCCCCCUCAAGAUGAGAGUUCCCAAUUAGUAAGACCCCUUGAAGACGACGAGGUAGAUAGGUUGGAGGUGGAAGCACAGCAAUGUGUGGAGCUGACCAAUACUAAUCGGUCGAGGGCUUAUCCUA
rnacentral:rRNA from 1 species